rnacentral:rRNA from 1 species
UACGUAGGCAGCAAGCGUUGUUCGGAUUUACUGGGCGUAAAGAGUGUGUAGGCGGUUCUCUAAGUUCCGUGUGAAAUCUCCCGGCUCAACUGGGAGGGUGCGCGGAAAACUGGAGGGCUUGAGUAUGGGAGAGGAAAGCGGAAUUCCUGGUGUAGCGGUGAAAUGCGCAGAUAUCAGGAGGAACACCGGUGGCGAAGGCGGCUAUCUGGACAGAAACUGACGCUGAGGCGCGAAAGCUAGGGGAGCAAACAGG